rnacentral:tRNA from 1 species
GGGCAAUUAGCUCAGUUGGCAGAGCGUCUCGUUGACGUCGAGAAGGUCAUAGGUUCGAGUCCUGUAUUGCCCACCA